CGGGGCGCCUCAGGUGGCUCCGGGCGCCGCUUGGGGCCGCGCUGACACCGCCGCGCCUCGGGGAAAGCGCUCCGAGUGGGCCGCGGCGCCGUCUGCGAAGGUGAACGCGGGACCCAGAGCCCCCGCACACCCUCUGGGACAGCGCGUCCGUCCUCCAGGGAUCUCACACACUGUGCUGCUUUACUUCGCGCUCGGGAAAUUUCCAUCACGGUGGAUCCAAACGCAGAUGGCUGAGGGAAGCGCGGGCCAAGCGCAGUGCUGGAAGGACAGGAGAGCCCCGAGGUAUGGCCACGACACGUCUGCGUGGGGCACAGGGAGGGGUGGUGGCAAACUACAUGUCUUCUGCUGUACCCAGUACCUUGUGUUCAGGGUGAGCUGCCAUAAAAGUCAAACAGAAUCUUAUGUUUUAGUUACAGAGAUGUCAAGCCUGCAGACAGCCGCCUGAUAGGACAAAAGGUAAUGGCCUUCAAUUGUGCCAGGGAAGGUUCAGGUUGGAUAUUAGGAACAACUUCUCCUCAGAAAGCACAGUCAGGCUGAAAAAGACCUCUGAGAUCAUCCCAUCCAACCCCAACCCAUCACCCCAUGCCCACUGACCACAUCCCUCAGUGCUACAUCUUCACGGUUCUUGAACACCUCCAGGACAGUGACCUCACCACCUCCCUGGGCAGCCUGUGCCAGUGCUCUUUCCAAGAAUAAAUACUCCUAAUAUCCAACCGGAACCUCCCCUGGCACAACUUAGCGCCAUUAACUCUUGCCGUGAGUGCUCUGAGUGCUUCUCUUCCGAGCAUGCCACCCUGCAAAGAGCUGGCGCAGCUGCAGGCACUGCAGGUCUGCUCUAUCCCCCUUCAGGCCUGUUCUCUUCCCCUUGUCAAUCAAACAAAGUUGGAACUAGGUGAUCUCUGAUGUCCCUUCCAACCCGAGCCAUUCUGUGGUUCUGCACAGUUGUGUCACUAGAUGGCCUUCCAGACUGAACACAGAGCGCAAUUGCACUCCUCAUGUCUGGGAAUAACCUCUUUCAAGGAAGGCCCUGCUUUGUGCACAGGGCAGGCAGAAAGAAAAAAGUAUUUGAGUGAUAGGAGGAGGAGAGACAUGCGAAUGCCCUACAAAGUGUCAUAUAAUCUAAAUUAAGAAGGAAAAAAAGGUAGCCAAUCUCACAUCUAUUUAAAGCUAACCAUUUUACUGAGGAAACAGUUGACACGAGCAUGUAGGAUACACAAAAAGAUCCUGUAUGAACCAUCAUCUUUAAUAUCUAAUCUGCAAGACAGCAAAAGCUGUCAGCUCUGCGAGGUUGCAGUGGCUGAAGGCAUUCCAGUAUUGCACAGGAAUGAAUGGUCCAAAAGUCAUUUGUUUUACGCUGAGACAAUUCCUUUGAACCUGGCUCAAAAUGAAUGGUGUACUGUGGUAUGAUCAACAAAUAGACUUGCUGAUCUUCCUGAAA